AGAGCGCGGGCACAGUGCGCAGGCGCCGAGAUGCGGCCGCUUCCUGGCGUCUCCGUCUUUCCUCGGCAGUAUCUGGGACUCUGUGUACUUGCUCCCUGUGUGCAUGGAACAACGGUAGCGCAGACAGGGAUGCUGCAGACAGACAAUACAGUCGCCACUCCCCAGGACCAAGUGUCAUCCCAUUUCUUCUGUGGCCCCCAGCUCCAGCGGCAUCUGCUCUGAGAAGCCUUAGGUUAAUCCUUAGGCUUGGCCGGGCGCGGUGGUUCAUGCUUGUAAUCCCAGCACUUUGGGAGGCCGAGGCGGGUGGAUCGUUUGAGCCCAGGAGUUGGAGAUCAGCCUGGGCAACAUGCAGCUGAGUUUAAGGCGCAAGGUGGAGAACACAUCAGCUUCAAAGGCAGAGGGAAUCGAAGGUGCUCUCCAGCUUUGGAUACUUCCUCUGCUUGAGGACACCUUGACUAACCCCCAAGGGCAACUAAAGGAUCAAGAAAGGCCCAGCACAGCAGAAGACCAACUGGACUUAGCAACUGCAGGAGAUGUGUACAAAGACAAUCCCAGUCCUCUGGGGAUGUUUCCUCCUGUGGAAUCUCUGCCUCUCAUCCUCUCAGACCAUUUACCCUGGAAUCAAGGCAAGGAUUACUCAGAGGGCACUUGACUAUGGUGUUCAAGCUGGAAUGGAGAUAAUUGAGCGAAUGCUAAAAGAAAAGAACCUCCCAGAUUUAAGCGGUUCUGAGUCUCUUGAAUUUCUAAAGGUUGAUUACGUAAACUACAAUUUUUCAAAUAUAAAAAUCAAGGCCUUUUCAUUUCCAAAUACCUCAUUGGCUUUUGUGCCUGGGGUGGGAAUCAAAGCGCUAACCAACCACGGCACUGCCAACAUCAGCACAGACUGGGAGUUCGAGUCUCCACUUUU